rnacentral:lncRNA from 1 species
AUGCACACUGCCCCCCCACAUACAUACAGCCCCCCCGUACACACACACACUACCCCCCCACAUACCUACAGACCCCCUCACACACACACGUGCACACACACACACUGCCCCCCCAUACAUACAUACAGCCCCCCUUACACACGGGCGCACACGCACUGCACACACACACACACACACACAGCCCUCACACGAGGGUGCCCGCCCCCCACUCUCCCAGCACCGCCCUCACACGCACAGGUGUGGGGGCACACAGGUACACAAACACACACUCCCCUCACACACACACACAGCCUUCACACGGACAACUUCCCCCUACCCUCAAGCCCCCUCGCACAGGCUCUUCACACGCGUAGGUUUGGGGGUGCGCGCGCACACACACACACACACACACGCACAUACGCACUCACACACAUCCCUCUUACACACACACAGCCCCCCCCUGCACAGCCCCUAUGCACGCACAUACGCACCCCUCACACUGCAGCACUGACACACACGUACAGAGCCCCCUCGCACACACAACCGCCCCACACUCCUCACCUCCCCACACACAGGGGCACCCCCCCACACCCCCCCACACCCUCACACCGCCCCCACUCGCACACAGGUGUGGGGACACACACACACACACACACCCCUCAUACGGGGGCUCUCAUACCCUUCACACCCACACACACACCCCUCACACAAGGGCUCACAACCCUACACACACACACGCACACACCCAUCUCACACACUCACACGGACAGGGGGUGCACAAGGGCACCCCCCCACACACACACACUCCUCACACACAGACACACACCGCCCCAAUGCCAUCCCUCACGCGCAAACCUGGGGGCACGCACUGACACACACCCGUCACCCCCCCGUCAUGCACACACGUCCCUCAGACCCACACAUGCAUGUGUCACACACGCACACACUCACCGCCCUCAAGCACACCCUCUCUCACCCCAAUGCACCACCCCACAGCCCCACACGCACCCCCUGCCCCACUCACAACCCCAGCACACACAGCCGGACACGGCCCCCCCCCAGCCCGGCCACACGUGUGGCCCUGCUGUGCGCAGCCCUUGCACGCAGCAAUCCGCACUGCUGCCGGGGCUCCGGGACCCCUCGGAGAGGGCCAUGCCGCUGCCCACAGGCCCGGCCUGA